GCCGGGUGUGGUGGUGCACGCCUGUAAUCCCAGCUACUGGGGAGGCUGAGUCAGGAGAAUCGCUUGAACCUGGGAGGCGGAGGUUGCAGUGAGCCGAGAUUGCACCACUGCACUCCAGCCUGGGUGACAGAGCGAAACCCUAUCUCAA
rnacentral:sRNA from 1 species